rnacentral:rRNA from 1 species
UACGGAGGGGGCUAGCGUUGUUCGGAAUUACUGGGCGUAAAGCGCACGUAGGCGGAUCAGCAAGUCAGGGGUGAAAUCCCGGGGCUCAACCCCGGAACUGCCUUUGAUACUGUUGGUCUGGAGGUCGAGAGAGGCGAGUGGAAUUCCGAGUGUAGAGGUGAAAUUCGUAGAUAUUCGGAGGAACACCAGUGGCGAAGGCGGCCCACUGGAUCGGUACUGACGCUGAGGUGCGAAAGCGUGGGGAGCAAACAGG